AAAGCGUGAUUGAUCUGUUUUGUUUAUAUUCUUUUUGUGUAGUUAGACACACAUAAGACAGGUUUAGUCGUCCUUAUUAGUCUUGUUGCAAUAGUAUUGUUAAGGUAGUAUUUGGAUUGUUAAGACUUGUCUUUUUAUAAUAAAUUAGUAGAUUUAUUACGCAGGCUCUUUUGAACAGGAUGCAGCGUUUUGUCAGGAAGCAUUUUCCUUUUAUUUUUUCAGGUGCCCAAGACAGGAGAAAAGUGAACCCUAUUGCUGGGGACUCCAAUGCUCAUCGGAUUAAGGAUAUUCUUCCUGACGAUAUAGCUGUCAAAUGCCUGCCAAUCUCUGGUGCCAAAUUUUCUUGUGAUCGUUUUCGCCAUGCAUUGUUGAGAGACUUGCGGAAGAUGGAUGUUCAACAGCUGUAUCUUCAUCUAGGCUCAAAUGACAUUCUUACGAAUGAAGCGGUGUUUUACCGGAGGCGCACAAUCGGUGUCCAGAAUGCAGGGUUGUUUGCUCCAACGAUGACGCUUUGCUGAGCCACUUCUGCAGUCGCCAUAUCAAGCAACCAGAGACUGGAAAAGAGAGUAAAAUUAAGCUGAUAGGCUCACAAAUGGUAUGACUUUAAAUCACUAACUUGUGUAUGCUUGACAAGCAUUUUAUGUACAAAUAAAGUAACAAAAAAGGAGGUCAACACAUGCACUUUCCCAUAUAAUGCUUUCUGUAUCUUUUAGCAACUAAUGACACGAUUUUGUGUUGACAUACUCAAUAUGAUAGUUAUAGCCCUAUAUAACUGGUAUGUUCAUUUUAGUUAAUCUUUCUAUUUUAAUUAAACCUGUUUGUUUAGCUAGAUUGCUUGAAAAACACAACCAGGAUUAUUUUUAUGCCCCCGGAUCGAAAGAUCGGGGGUAUAUUGUUUUUGGCCUGUCUGUCAUUGUAUGUGUCCGUGUGUUUGUGUGUGUGUGU